rnacentral:rRNA from 1 species
UACAGAGGGGGCAAGCGUUAUUCGGAAUUAUUGGGCGUAAAGGGCGCGUAGGCGGCUUGGCAAGUGGAAGGUGAAAUCCCUCGGCUCAACUGAGGAACUGCCCUCCAAACUGCUUUGCUUGAGGCCGGGAGAGGCGAGUGGAAUUCCCAGUGUAGCGGUGAAAUGCGUAGAUAUCGAGAGGAACACCUGCGGCGAAGGCGGGUUGCUGGGCUGACACUGACGCUGAUGCGCGAAAGCCAGGGGAGCGAACGGG